GCCUAGUUAGCAUAAUUGGUAUUGCACUUGCCUUGUAAGCAAGCGUCUUUUGACAUUGUGGGUUCGACUCCCUCACUAGGCU
rnacentral:tRNA from 1 species